rnacentral:rRNA from 1 species
AACUCAAAUGAAUUGACGGGGGCCCGCACAAGCGGUGGAGCAUGUGGUUUAAUUCGAUGCAACGCGAAGAACCUUACCUGGUCUUGACAUCCACAGAACUUAGCAGAGAUGCUUUGGUGCCUUCGGGAACUGUGAGACAGGUGCUGCAUGGCUGUCGUCAGCUCGUGUUGUGAAAUGUUGGGUUAAGUCCCGCAACGAGCGCAACCCUUAUCCUUUGUUGCCAGCGGUCCGGCCGGGAACUCAAAGGAGACUGCCAGUGAUAAACUGGAGGAAGGUGGGGAUGACGUCAAGUCAUCAUGGCCCUUACGACCAGGGCUACACACGUGCUACAAUGGCAUAUACAAAGAGAAGCGACCUCGCGAGAGCAAGCGGACCUCAUAAAGUAUGUCGUAGUCCGGAUUGGAGUCUGCAACUCGACUCCAUGAAGUCGGAAUCGCUAGUAAUCGUAGAUCAGAAUGCUACGGUGAAUACGUUCCCGGGCCUUGUACACACCGCCCGUCACACCAUGGGAGUGGGUUGCAAAAGAAGUAGGUAGCUUAACCUUCGGGAGGGCGCUUACCACUUUGUGAUUCAUGACUGGGGUGAAGUCGUAACAAGGUAACCGUAGGGGAACCUGCGGUUGGAUCACCUCCUU